CUCGAGGAAAAAAGUGGCGCCAACAUUUCGGUUUCCUGUGCCCUAAAUUUCGCAGGCCGAGAGAGAAGGGCCGAGGAGGCGAAAGACCGAGGAUAAAACGAGGAGCGAGAACGCAAAUCGACAGUACAUUCGAAAUUAUAGGAUUCAUGAAAUAAUGGACCUCACUCCUUUCAAGCGUGAUGUUGACGAUCUUCUGGGUGAAUUCAUCGAGAUUGGAGCGGUAACACUUGCUGAGAUGAAGAAAGUUUGGGUCUCUAGAAAGUUCACAUAUAUUUAUGAGGCCAUGCCAAGUUCACAUAACUUGGCAUUCUUCAUGCAGGCAUUGUAUGCUCAUGCAAUUGGUUAUAUGGUAACUGAAGGCUCUUUAUCAAAGAGGUUGGGUGGGUUAUAUUGCUUAUAUUGCCUUUAUGAAACUCAGCCGUUUGUUCCACCUUUCAAGAUUUAUUUAUCACUUGUAGAGCUGCAAAAGCUCAAAAUCCUUGUAGCUGAUGCUAAACGCAAUGGGAUUGAGAUAGCACUUGCUGUCGUGAAAAGGAUGCUGUCCAAGAAUAUGUUUCUUUUUGGCCAUGUUAAUGCAAAUGAGGAUUCAGUGACUGCAGUCAUCAGUGGAAUAACAAAGCAGCAGAAUACGCAGAUUCGUGCUGCACAUGACAUGUUAUUGUCAAAUUCAAAGAUUGAGGAGCAUGUGAAUAUGGACUUGAGUUCUAAAUUAGAUUUGGAAGGGCUAAAGAAUUUAUCAGCAGAUUAUGCAAAAACAAAGGCAUCAGCUUUACAAGAGGCUGGCAAGGUUGUAAGAGUUGAAGACAUAGAGCACAUAGCUAUACAAGAGGAAACUGCAGGGGAGAGAGUAGCGAAGAUUGCAGAGGAAUGGGAAUUGCAGCGGCAAGCUUAUUAUCGAGAGAUAGGUACGGACGGCGCCACAUGCAUGAACAAUGAUACUAAUGGAUGUAAUGAUUUCGAAAACCAGUUGGAGCUCAUGUUGGAAGAUCAUUCAUCGGUGUGAGGUACACGCACACAUAUAUAUACACUUUUGAUACUUUUGUAUUGUACAAGAGAGAAACUUCGGUCCCUCAAUCCCCCGCUGAUACAAACCCUGUCACACCGUUGAAGCACAUCCCAUGAGACUAUGAUAGAGUGAGUUGUGAUCCUUAAGUAAUACAUAUUACCCUCAAGUAAAAAUGCAUUUACUGAUUCAGAAUCUUAUUGUUUUCUUGUUUCAAGACGGUCAUAGCCAGCAAAGCUAAUUAUGUUUCCAUACUUGCACUUGAUGGAAUUUCAAUUGACCAGUAAAUCAGGCACUAGUAGAGAUACUCAGUUCAGAUUCGAUCGGAGGCCAUGACGAUUAUAAAAUGCUUUCAGUUUGAAACUGAAAUGGAAUUCGGAAUUGAUCUUUGAUGUGUUGGAAUUGGGCUUAUGUAUGGCGGGUCUAUAUGGCUGAACUCCAACUCUGAGGCCAAAGUUUGAUGUUCACAUAAGGUAUUUUGUGAAAAGCUGGAAUGUGACCUAGGCGUGUAUGAUGAAAUGUGUUUACUCCAGUCUAAAUGGUGCAGCGCUAGAAAUCGCCAUCUUGAUAGUGUGUUUAAAGCCCCUUUUCUUUAUGAUGCAUAGAUAAAUGUAUGGGUGGAUGGUGUGGUUUGCUUAAGGCUUGGUCUCUAUCAUAAAAAGUAAAGCGGCAUUUCAUGCAGUUCUUGUGCCAUAGGUACCUAUUAUGGACAAUUUAUUUAUUCCUUUUAUUGUGAAAUUUGUACAUCCAAAUGUGGGGUAAGUUUGGUGGAUUUUUUAGUGUUGAAAAUUAACAUUAUUAGAACAUGCUACAAGGUGCAUUGUUUUUAGGGCUUGAAAUCAAUUAUUUUUAUUCA